rnacentral:rRNA from 1 species
UACGUAGGGUGCAAGCGUUGUCCGGAAUUAUUGGGCGUAAAGAGCUCGUAGGCGGCUUGUCGCGUCGGCUGUGAAAACCUGGGGCUCAACCCCGGGCCUGCAGCCGAUACGGGCAAGCUAGAAUUCGGUAGGGGAGACUGGGAUUCCUGGUGUAGCGGUGAAAUGCGCAGAUAUCAGGAGGAACACCGGUGGCGAAGGCGGGUCUCUGGGCCGAAAUUGACGCUGAGGAGCGAAAGCGUGGGGAGCGAACAGG